GGGGUUGUAGCUCAGUGGUAGAGCACUUGUCUAGCACAUGUGGGACCUGGGUUCAAUCCUCAGCACCA
rnacentral:tRNA from 1 species